AGUCAAUGGUUGAUCAUGAUGACCAUCUUUGAUUUAAUGGAGAAAGAUUAAUCAAUAUUUGCAGCUUGACAGGCUAUAACCACAGUUCAAUGAUUUAGUUAAGACAAUGAAAUAGAAGAACUUCAUGCUAACACUUGCAUCAGUGGAACUUACUUCUUAUUGGAUAGAGAACUUUUCAAGGUCAGCCAUCAGCUUUUGAAGUUGCUUUCUUGGCACAUCAGGCUGUCGAGUGGAGUUCAUACCAUAUGCCAGGUCUUUAUACAUGGUCAAAGAAGAUGAAUUUGUUAUUCAAUUUGUGAAAUUUGAUUUAAGGAGGACUUUCAUAUAUGAUGAUUAUAUUCAGCAGAUUAUCUUCAAGUGUGCACUUCAUAGAAUCACAGUUUCUAGUUAGAUUAAUUGAAGAAUAAGGAAACCUAUCAUACUCACCAUGGCAUCGGCAUUAAGUUUUUCUUACCAUGGCAUCGGUUUUAAGUUUUUCUUACCAGUCCAUAUUUUAAAAGGACCUUUUGAAAGUAUUGAAACUUACAACAGUAAUGUAUCAUCAUUAUACCAUGUUUAAGGCAAGAGUACAUAACUCCAUCAAGGAUUUGACUGAACUAUGGCCCUUUGAAACUUUUGUCACUUGUUUAUAAUAAUAGUCUCUAUAGGCAAGAGUUAAUAACACUAGAGUAUUUUGGUUGAAUUAUGUCCCUUUUGGACUUUGAAAUUGGUUCAGUUUUUAUACAAGUCCACAUUUUGACAUAUAGCUUUGAAUCUUUCAACACUAAGUCUUACCAUUACAAUAAUACAACUUAAAAUAGUUGUUCAACAUCAUCACCCACAUUAUAUGACACAAGAUGCAUAACUCUUGCACCAAAAUUUAAUAAAUUAUGCCCUUUUUUGCUUAAAAUGUACUUGUAUAGUGUUUUGAUACACUUUAUCUUUAUCUCUCAUAUUACUUAAUAUUUUAAAACAGACUUAGUUAUUAUGCAAUAUCUUCAUCAGCCAUUGGAGUCAUUAGUUGCUGUUGAGAUCCUAUAAUUGUAAAACAUAAAAUAAAUGUUGAAAGGUUCAUAAA
rnacentral:lncRNA from 1 species